UCAACUAAUGAUUUUUUUGUGAUCUUUGAAUCACCAGGAGAAGCAGCGCUAGUGCUUUGUCUGGUCAGUAGAAAGUCGAUGAAUUCUUUUCCGUAAGGUUGAAGCUCUUUAGUUUAGUACUAUUAUUAUGUUGUUUUGGUUUAUAGUACUGUGGAAACCUCUCUCAUUUUAUAUCUACAUUUCUUGUGAAUCCUUUUCAGGAUGUUGAACUAUAUAUACAAAAAGUAACACCCUAGUGAAGAACCUAGUGGAAAAACUUCAUUUUGUCUUUCUUUUUUGGCAAAACCCAUCCCAACUGUCUUCAUCUAACAAGACAUGUUGAUUGAAUAUAUGCAGCUUUUGACUUAACAUCAGAAGAAGGCUCUGGCUGUGUGGACUGAAGUUGGAAUAUUGUGGCAGGUGCUGUUGAAUGAACAGCCCUCAGGCUGCACAAAAACGAUUAUAGAAUGGCCUGUUUUACAUACCUUUAUUUCUCUGACUACUUAAUUGCAGAAUCAUGGUUUCAGUUUUGCUCUUUGCAGUUCUUGGUACUUGAUUAUUUUGUUUGAUCAUCUAUUUGGAGUGCAAAAGUUGAGACAUCUAAUAGGCAUGAAGGGGAGGCGAAUAAGAGAUUAAUAAAUAGUCAAGAUCUUGGCAAAUUCCAUUUGGUGAUUCUGAUCCUUAGUAGAAAUGGGAGGGUAACACAACAUCAAUAAGGAUUGUGAAUCUUAUGUUGAUCUUCAUCCAGCAGCAUAGAAGUGAAAAUCUAGCACUGAAAACUACAUACAUCAGAUCUCAGUGUUGGGCUAUAUCUGAACAUUAGUAUGCUAUUAUGAUGUCUGAUGAUCAAUCAAUUUCAGGACUCAUACGUUAGAAUUUUGAAAACUAUUUCAUGACUUGUGCAAAUAUGGAACCUGUGGACUUAGAAAGAGUAAACAAUGUUGGCUGACUAAAGGUUUUGUGAGCCGGUCUAGCAAGACACAGAGGAUGCUUUACUUCUGGAACUAAAAAUAUCCGGGUACAUUUGAUUCCAUCCUCGAUGUUAUUAGUCGUCCUGAGAACAAUACUAUCGCUUUUGUCUCUGGAGAAUGCUAGUUUAGUAGGGUUCAGUUCUGUUUAAUGGUACAACUUUGUAAGACCUUAUUAAGGCCUCUGGUGUAAUGUUAAGAAUUGGGUACUUUCUUUAUUUAGUUAAAGAUUCUAAACCAAGAAAUUUCAUUCUUUCUGGAUUAAUUUCAUUUGGUUGGUUUUGCAUCAUA